CAGUCGCCGCGGGAAUACGUAGGGUGCGAGCGUUAAUCGGAAUUACUGGGCGUAAAGCGUGCGCAGGCGGUUCGUUAAGACAGAUGUGAAACCCCCGGGCUUAACCUGGGAACUGCAUUUGUGACUGGCGAGCUAGAGUAUGGCAGAGGGGGGUAGAAUUCCACGUGUAGCAGUGAAAUGCGUAGAGAUGUGGAGGAAUACCGAUGGCGAAGGCAGCCCCCUGGGCCAAUACUGACGCUCAUGCACGAAAGCGUGGGGAGCAAACAGGAUUAGAGACCCGUGUAGUCCCUGUCUCUUAUAC
rnacentral:rRNA from 1 species